rnacentral:rRNA from 1 species
UACAGAGGUCUCAAGCGUUGUUCGGAUUCAUUGGGCGUAAAGGGUGCGUAGGCGGUCGGGUAAGUCGGAUGUGAAAUCCCAGGGCUCAACCCUGGAACUGCAUUCGAUACUGCCUGGCUAGGGUACUGGAGAGGAGACUGGAAUUUACGGUGUAGCAGUGAAAUGCGUAGAUAUCGUAAGGAAGACCAGUGGCGAAGGCGAGUCUCUGGACAGUUACCGGACGCUGAAGGCACGAAGGUCAGGGGAGCAAACGGG